CAUGCAAGUCGAACGAGGAUAUAUCCUUCGGGAUAUAAGCCGAGUGGCGCAAGGGUGAGUAAUGCAUAGAUUACCUGCCUCUAGGAUAAGGACAACUUUGUGAAAACGAAGCUAAUACUUAAUAAUACAAAAGAAAAUAAUUUUCUUUUGUCAAUGGGAGGGUAGCAAUACCUUUUGCCUAGAGAGGGGUUUAUGUCCUAUCAGCUUGUUGGUGGGGUAAUGGCCUACCAAGGCGAAGACGGGUAGCCGGUCUUAGAGGAUGGUCGGCCACACUGGGACUGAGACACUGCCCAGACUUCUACGGAAGGCUGCAGUCGAGAAUCUUUCGCAAUGCCCGAAAGGGUGACGAAGCGACGCCGCGUGAGUGAGGAAGGCCUUAGGGUUGUAAAGCUCUGUCAGGAGUUAAGAAAUAUAAGUGUGUUAAUACCACGUUUAUUUGACGAAGGCUCCAAAGGAAGCCACGGCUAACUCUGUGCCAGCAGCCGCGGUAAUACAGAGGUGGCAAGCGUUGUUCGGAAUUAUUGGGCGUAAAGAGCACGUAGGUGGGUUUGUAAGUCAGAUGUGAAAGCCUUCUGUUCAACGGAAGAAUUGCAUCUGAAACUGCAAGUCUUGAGUGUAGGAGGGGAGAAUGGAACUUCUGGUGGAGCGGUGAAAUGCGUAGAUAUCAGAAGGAACGCCGGCGGCGAAAGCGAUUCUCUGGCCUAUUACUGACACUCAGUGUGCGAAGGCUAGGGGAGCAAACGGGAUUAGAUACCCCGGUAGUCCUAGCCGUAAACGAUGGGCACUAAGUAGAGGGAAUUACCGAUGUUCUCUCUGCCGUAGCUAACGCAUUAAGUGCCCCGCCUGGGGAGUACGGCCGCAAGGCUAAAACUCAAAAGAAUUGACGGGGGCUCGCACAAGCGGUGGAGCAUGUGGCUUAAUUCGAUGCAACGCGAAAAACCUUACCGGGGCUUGACAUGGUAGAAGUAGGAACCCGAAAGGGUAACGAACGGUAUCCAGUCCAUAGCUAUCACAGGUGUUGCAUGGCUGUCGUCAGCUCGUGUCGUGAGACGUUGGGUUAAGUCCCCUAACGAGCGAAACCCUUGUUUUUAGUUACCAGCGGGUUAUGCCGGGUACUCUAGAAAGACUGCCGUCGUCAAGACGGAGGAAGGUGGGGAUGACGUCAAGUCAUCAUGGCCCUUAUGCCCCGGGCUGCACACGUGCUACAAUGGUCGGUACAAACGGAAGCGAAGCCGAGAGGUGAAGCGAAUCCUAAAAAGCCGAUCUCAGUUCGGAUUGGAGGCUGAAAUUCGCCUCCAUGAAGUUGGAAUCGCUAGUAAUCGCGGAUCAGCAAUGCCGCGGUGAAUAUGUUCCCGAGCCUUGUACACACCGCCCGUCAAGCCACCCAAGCAGGAUGCACCCGAAAACAUUAUAUCUAACCAGGGCAACUUGGAGGAAAGUGUUGAAGGAGUGUUUUGUGAGGAGGACUAAGUCGUAACAAGGUAGUCGUAGGAGAACCUGCGGCUGGAUCACCUCCUUUCU
rnacentral:rRNA from 1 species